rnacentral:lncRNA from 1 species
GCUCUGACUGCGGCAACCGUUGAAGGGCUGCCCCCCGGAAGGCAGCGAGGCGUCACCGGUCCCUCAAACAGCUUUUCAUGUUUAUUCUACACAAGAGGAAUGACUGUGUCAGUACCACUUUCUUGAGCUAUGGCAAUCAGAGCUGGAAGUGGGAACUUGUCUACAGAACACCCAAACUUGCCAAGGAUGGUGCAGAUUAUGAAAGAUAAUGGCUUUAUCCCCUCCCAGCACUGAUGAUAUUAUCAGAGAUGAAAUGCUACAAGAUGUUGUGAAAUACUCUGGGGAAUAAUUAAUAGUCAACUUGGAACACCCACCUGAACUGAGUGUGGUUCUGGACGUGGAAGACCCACCUGAGAAUUGUUGCCAAUGGCGUAAAAGGAGAACUGGAGAAGAACAUUGUAUGCUGUUGAUUUUCCUGGAGAAGCUUGCCACAGCUGGUUGUCCUGAUACAAAUGCAGCUGUUCUUGUCCUCAGAGGAGCUCAGGUCCUCACUGUCGCUGGCGAUGGCUGCUCUUCUUUUCACGGGAGCUCUGGUCUUCACCUUGAGUGUCGCUUCCUGGCUUCAGUGGAGAUCCUCAGCCUGGUGCACAGAUCCUUCAUCCUGCCAGCACACACUUUCUAGCUUCCUGGCUUUUGGUCUUC